AUUGAACGCUGGCGGCGGGCCUAACACAUGCAAGUCGAGCGGAUGAAGGGAGCUUGCCUCUGGUUUCAGCGGCGGACGGGUGGGUAAUGCCUAGGAAUCAGCCUGGCUGUGGGGGUUAAAGACCGGAAACGGGCGGUAAUACCGCCUACGUCCUGUGGGAGAAAGUAUGGGUUCUUAGGACAAGACGCUAUCAGAUGAACCUAGGUCGGGUUAGCUAGUUGGUGGGGUAGUGGCCUAGCAAGGCGACGAUCCGUAACUGGUCUGAUGGGAGGAUCAGUCACACUGGAACUGGGACACGGUCCAGGCUCCUACGGGAGGCAGCAGUGGGGAAUAUUGGACAAUGGGCGAAAGCCUUAUCCAGCCAUGCCGCGUGUGUGAAGAAGGGCUUCGGAUUGUAAAGCACUUUAAGUUGGGAGGAAGGGCAGUAAGUUAAUACCUUGCUGUUUUGACGUUACCAACAGAAUAAGCACCGGCUAACUUCGUG
rnacentral:rRNA from 1 species